rnacentral:rRNA from 1 species
UACGAGGGGGGCGAGCGUUGUUCGGAAUUAUUGGGCGUAAAGGGUGCGUAGGCGGUUUGUCGCGUCUGCCGUGAAAGUCCGGGGCUCAACUCCGGAUCUGCGGUGGGUACGGGCAGACUAGAGUGAUGUAGGGGAGACUGGAAUUCCUGGUGUAGCGGUGAAAUGCGCAGAUAUCAGGAGGAACACCGGUGGCGAAGGCGGGUCUCUGGGCAUUAACUGACGCUGAGGAGCGAAAGCAUGGGGAGCGAACAGG